rnacentral:lncRNA from 1 species
ACCACCCAAUAAACAGUAGUAGUAAAAUCCUAGAUAUAAAUGAAUAGCUAGAUUUUUCUCUCAACAAUUAUAUAUACAGUUCCACAUAAUCAUAGACACCAAUGAUCAGAAAGAAGAGAGUAUAGCUGAUGAUCAGUUCUGUGAUUUUAGAUAUUCAUCCUUUUGUUGCUGUUUAACUUCAUGAUGUUCAGGUUUUGGGGUGGGAGGAGAGGUGGAGGCUGACAGAAGAGAGUGAGCACACAUGGUGCCUUUCUUGCAUGGUGGAUGAGAGAGUUCAUGCUGGAAGCUAUGUGUGCUCACUUCUCUCUCUGUCGGCCAUUAGAACUCUCUCUCACACUUUCUCUGUUUGUGUUUGUGCGCGUGUGUAAUUAGUUGGGACUUGAGAACUACCCAUGCACAUGGUUAUUUCUUGCAUAUAAUCUGUGGUUUCUCUUUCUUGAGCACCCAGAAAUCCAUGGUGUAGCAGUUUUAUUUCUGGUCAUCAGGGGCAUUUCAUGCUAGCGAGCACACAUCUAUAUGACUGUAUGCCAAAAUACCUUUUUUUGCGAGGUCUUCAUAUGGCGCCUUAGGUUUUUUUGCAGUUUGCCUGAAGGGGAGGAGCUGGGUUUUGAAGGUUUGACAGAAGAGAGUGAGCACACGCGGUGGUUUCUUAGCAUGAGUGCCAUGCUGGGAGCUGUGCGUGCUCACUCUCUAUCUGUCAGCCACUCAUCAGGCCAUCUCUUCUUUCCACUGCUAAUUGAGCCUUUUGAAAAUAAAUUUCUUUAAUUAACAGAUCUCUCGCAUGUGGAUACGACUCAAUGCAAGGUUGUUGUUUCGUCCUAUUUAACCAACGAUAUAAUCCAUGCAUGAUUUUUCUUUAAUUUUUUUUGUAGGAUAACGAUUGCAAAGCAAGCAAUAUUAUUGAUCAAAUUUUCAUCAGAGAGGCUACAUACGAUCAAAAACAGGCUUGCUUACUCUCUCAAAAAAAGGCGUAUGUGCUUUAAUUAUUGCUUCUCUCUCUUCUCUCUCUCUCUCUCUCUCACUAUUUUCCGGUGUAAACUCCCAGUCAGUAGUGAUUAAGGUACUCUCUCAAAGAAGACGAUGUUUUCAGGGGUGCCUCUAUUUCUCUGAAUCUGUUCAUAACCUUUAGCUGGAUUUGAUGCUCAUUCACCGUUGUUAUUUCAUGUGUGGCAGCUCAUUUAUGAGGCCUGUUUAUAUGUAAAUAUUUCUUGUGAUGUGACUCUGGGUUCUGAAUUGUUUGCAAGUAGUAAAAGAUAUGAGUAUAUCUAUUUGGUAAGAGAUGGUAAAAAUAUGAUGGACAAAGUUCAAGGCACCAUAUAUAUCAGUAUAACUGUAUGGAAUCAUUUCAGCACUUUCCCCAUAGUUGAGUGCUCCAUUUAUUCUCAGUCUGUUAUAUGUCCUCACUGAUUAAUUUAUGUUUAUACGUUAUGUGGAAUAUAGGAGAUAUUAGCUCAAUGAUCUUUGUGAACAUCACCAUACCCC